rnacentral:rRNA from 1 species
CCUACGGGAGGCAGCAGUGGGGAAUCUUGCACAAUGGAGGAAACUCUGAUGCAGCGAUGCCGCGUGAGUGAAGAAGGCCUUUGGGUUGUAAAGCUCUUUCGUCGGGGAAGAAAAUGACUGUACCCGAAUAAGAAGGUCCGGCUAACUUCGUGCCAGCAGCCGCGGUAA